rnacentral:rRNA from 1 species
GUCUCAAGCGUUGUUCGGAUUCAUUGGGCGUAAAGGGUGCGUAGGCGGCGCGGUAAGUCGGGUGUGAAAUCUCGGAGCUUAACUCCGAAACUGCAUUCGAUACUGCCGUGCUUGAGGACUGGAGAGGAGACUGGAAUUUACGGUGUAGCAGUGAAAUGCGUAGAGAUCGUAAGGAAGACCAGUGGCGAAGGCGGGUCUCUGGACAGUUCCUGACACUGAGGCACGAAGGCCAGGGGAGCAAACGGG